ensembl:lncRNA
AUAACUGUCUUAAUGAAUCUAAUUGAAAUGCUUAUUUCAGACUCCUAUCACACCAAAAAAAGAGGCUUCACUUGGAGUGCUGCCACUGGAUGGGGCCUGACUUGUUUAUCCAGAAAGAAGUGACUUUCCUGGGAAGAAGGUUGCAUCUGUGAAAGCCUGUGCAGCAUUUCAAGGACAUUCAUGUUUUCAUCAUUCAGGCACAGGUCUUUGAAGAUUUUGCAUUGCUCUGUGAGUUACCAGAGGACUACAAUCUUUAAUGCAAUUCAGACAGCAAUUCACCAGGCCUUGCAUGUGCUCAGGCCUGUUGCUCCUUAUCAGAGGCCCACAAACAGCUCUCAGUACAGCUGCAGCCCUGGAGAAUUUCCCUGUCUCCUCCUGUUCCCUCUCUCUCCUCCUCCUCCCACUUCUUUUCCCUGCCUCUCCCCCACCCCUAUACAAACACACGUGCACACACACACACACACACACACACACACUACUCCUUGGCUCUUUAAUUUUCCUUUGAAGGCAUCAAAAUCAAUUUUAGGACUCAAUUUGGUACAAAGAGUUAAUAUGAAUUUGAUAUGGAUAGAGUUGACUGAUCUCUACUCUGGGUUUGAAGAUGUUGAUGCAAAUGGAAAGGAAAUAAUCCCAGGCUAUUGUGACAGAUGACAUGGUGUAGAGGGAAGAGCACAGGACUGAAGGUGGAGAAUCACUUGUUUAUGCAACACAUAUUUCCUGAACGUCAAAUACGAGGAUAAAGCCGUGAAGGAAACAGAGCCCUGUUUCUGCAGAACACACAUUCUGGUUGGAGAAGACAAGUAGCGAAUACACCAACAAAUAAGAGAAUAUCUGAUGAUGAGUGUUUUAUGAAGGGGAUAGUGACUGCAGGGCUAGGGAGAAAGUGAUUAUUUUAAGUAGGGAAGGUCUUUUGUGAGAAGGUACUAUUUAAAUUGAGACUUUAUAAGCUGUGCAACUUUGGAUAAAUUAUUUAGCCUCACUGAAUCUCUCAAGAGUAAAAUUAGGUUAAAAGUACCCAGCUUUUAGUUAUUGUAAACACAAAGAAGAGGAAAAUGUAUAUAAAGUGGUUCAGCAGCUAGUAGCUGUAACUGUUGCCAUUGAUGAAAUUCUGUGUCAGUUAGGAUCUGAGCAAGAAACAGACAACACAUGCAAAUGAGGAUAGCCUGAGUGAGUUUAAUAGAGAAUUUAUAAAACUGUCAGUGGGGUGUAGGGAAACAAGAAGGGAAGUGCAUUCUCUGGGAUCCAGUAAGAGCAGAGAGUGAUGACCAACUGCAGACCCCAAAGAGAAAGAAGAGUGAGGCUACUGGCACUUGGAGGCAGAGAAAGCCAUGUGGAGAGGGAGGCAGGGAGGCCGGACUGAGCUAAAACCUUCAGUCCUCUGGCCUUGAGCUAUUUGAGGGUCUGUUAUGUUCAGGAUUAAGCUUGGCACUAUAGAGGAUCACAAAAGUGUGUUAGUUAGGGAGUCUUCCAGCAAUAGGCUUGCAGUCAAGAAUGGGAAACAACACGUAUGCACGUAAUUUGAUUGAAAUGUAAGAAGUCUUACGGAUCAUAGGAGGAGUUCAGAUAAAGACUAAAAAGUUCUCAGGGGCCAGAUUGCUACCAGCCGACAGAUCAAAGGAACUGCCAUAGAGGAGGUGGCUGUGUGUGCCCUGGACCUCAAAGGAGAGAGAGGAUAUUCAGACAUGUAGCAGUGAUGGGCAGAAGCACAUUUUAAGUGGAGAGAAUAAAACGGGAGAAGCAAAUGGCUGGUGAUUGAAAAACCCUGAUUGCAUGUGCAGGAAAGAGAAAUCUUAGUUUGACUGGAGCCUCUGGCACAUGAAGGAGAUUUAGAGUUUGCUGUUUCUGGGAAUCUGUCCAUCUUCACCCUCAUGCUGUUCUCCUUUCCUCUUUUAACUUGUAUCUUCUCUCUCCUUGUUUUGUUGACGUUCUCUUUUUUGUUUUCCGUUGUCCCAUUUUAUGAGUGGAGCAUUUCAGUGCAAGGGCAAAUGGGAGUGGAGUGGGGUUCUGUGGAAUGUCAGAAAUGCAUGCUCAACCUAGAUUUCCCAAGCUCUCACUCAGUCUUAUCCCAGGGAUCACUUGACAUGAUGGGAAAUGAUGGGAAAAAAAUAAACAAUGUGAUCCCAGAGCAAUGCUUAUUUACUUUAUCCCUUUAACCCAGUUCUACUGCUUCUCUCUCCAUUUCCCAAGAACCAGGGGCAGGAAACAUGAGAAAGCAGAAGGGGGACAGAUUUUAGAGAAUGUGAGUUUGUCGUUUGUCCUUCCAAGACCAGAG